rnacentral:tRNA from 1 species
GCCCGGUAAGCUCAGCCGGUAGAGCGUUGGACUUUUAAUCCAAAGGCCAAGGUUUCAAGUCCCUUAUCGGGCU